rnacentral:rRNA from 1 species
UACGUGGGAUGCGAGCGUUGUCCGGAAUUAUUGGGCGUAAAGAGCUCGUAGGCGGUGUGUCGCGUCGGCCGUGAAAACCUGCAGCUUAACUGUGGGCUUGCGGUCGAUACGGGCAUCACUGGAGUUCGGCAGGGGAGACUGGAAUUCCUGGUGUAGCGGUGAAAUGCGCAGAUAUCAGGAGGAACACCGGUGGCGAAGGCGGGUCUCUGGGCCGAUACUGACGCUGAGGAGCGAAAGCGUGGGGAGAGAGCAGG